rnacentral:ncRNA from 1 species
AACGAAUCUUCAUUAAAACCCUGACAGUUGCAUAAUUCUGCAAUUUAUUUAUUCCUGUGAAUUUCCUGAAAGCCUGGCUCUUUGUCUAAUUAAAGCUUAAAUCACAAUUCACUUUCAAGUUUAUUUACUUUGUUUUUUUUUGCAUUCAUACAUUCUUGGUUAGCUUAAUUCGAAGUCAAAAUUCCAUCGUGUGAUUACGAUUCCCAGUGAUUUGACCCUUAAAUACUACAAUUGAUUUCUUAAUUUGAGAGAGUAGUUCAGGGUAAAUUUGAACAUAUCACAAGGAUGCUUUCAUUAAUCAAGAACAAAAGUUGGGGGCUCGAAGACGAUCAGAUACCGUCCUAGUCUCAACCAUAAAUGAUGCCGACCAGGGAUCAUCGAAUGUUGCUAUUAGAACUCCGUUGGCACCUUAUGAGAAAUCGAAGUUUUUGGGUUCCGAGGGGAGUCUAGGCGUAAGGUUGAAACUUAAAGGAAUUGACGGAAGGGCACCACCAAGAGUGGAGCCUGCGGCUUAAUUUGACUCAACACGGGGAACUUACCAGGUCCAGACAUAGUAAAGAUUGACAGAUUGAGAGCUCUUUCUUGAUUCUAUGAGUGGUGGUGCAUGGCCGUUCUUAGUUGGUGGAGCGAUUUGUCUGGUUAAUUCCGUUAACGAACGAGACCUCAACCUGCUAACUAGCUACGUGGAGGCAUCCCUUCACGGACGGCUUCUUAGAGGGACUAUGGCUGUUUAGGCCAAGGAAGUUUGAGGCAAUAACAAGUCUAUGAUGCCCUUAGAUGUUUUGGGCCGCACGCGCUAAACUGAUGUAUUCAACGAGUUUAUACAUAGGCCGACAGGCCCAGGUAAUCUUUGAAAUUUCAUUGUGAUGGGGAUAAAUCAUUGCAAUUGUUGGUCUUCAACAAGGAAUUCCUAGUAAGCGCAAGUCAUCAGCUCGCGUUGACUACGUCCCUGCCCUUUGUACACACCGCCCAUCGCUCCUACCGAUUGAAUGAUCCGGUGAAGUGUUCGGAUUGCCGUGACGUGGGUGGUUUACCGUCUGCGACGUCGCGAGAAGUCCACUAAACCUUAUCAUUUAGAGGAAGGUUAAGUCGUAACAAGGUGUCUAUAGGUCAACCUGCGGAAGGAUCAUUG